ACUAAGGAAAAUAGGUUGCCUUAUAUUAGAAGUUGUGCCUAUGAGAGUGAUAGUAGGAAAUGGCAACUACUUAAUGAGUUUGCACAUUUGUCACAAAUUCAAAUGGAAGAUACAAGGAGUUGACUUUGAGGAUGCAGUCAAAAUAACUAAGCAGGGUGGCAAUGGCAUGCUACUUGGGGGUGAUUGGAUGAAAAGGCAAAAUCCAGUCCUACUUGACUUUGUGGAGUAUAAGGUGCAAGUAACUCACAAAGGGAAGAUGGUAGAACUUAAAGGGAUUUACAACCAAACAGAACUUAAGGGCUUAUCAACCAAUGGAGUGAGACAAACGGGCAGACCAUAUGGUCUCACAUAUUCACAAUUUCAGCAGAAGAAGUAAAGGAAUCAAGCUCAUGCCUGCAUCUAUUGACAAGGUGCUAGAAGCAGUUUCCAGAUGCCUUCACGGAACCAACAUCAUUGCCUCCCAAAAGGGGUCAUGACCAUUACAUUUCCCUGAAAUCAAAUGCAAUUCCUGUAAGUAUAGACCCUAUAGAUACAGUUUUUUUCCAAAAAAAUGAAAUAGAGAAACAGGUGAGUGAAAUGCUCAACAAUGGUAUUAUAUAGCCAAGCCAUUCCCCAUUUUCGUCCCCUGUUUUAUUAGUCAAGAAUAAAGAUGGAAGUUGGAGGUUUUGUAUUGACUACAGAGCUCUAAACAAUAUGACUAUAAAAGACAAGUUUCCUAUACCCUUAGUUGAUGAUUUAAUGGAUGAGUUAUGUGAAUCAUGCAUAUACUCCAAAAUAGACUUAAGGGCUGAGUAUCAUCAGAUAAGGGUAGGGGGAAAAGGACAUUUAUAAGACUACUUUUAAAACACAUUUGGGAUUUUAUGAAUUUAGGGUAAUUCCCUUUGGACUAACUAAUGCUCCUACAACCUUUAAGUCACUUAUGAACCAUGUUUUUAAGAAUUAUCUUAGAAAAUUUGUGUCGGUGUUCUUUGAUGAUAUUCUAGUGUACAUCUCUACUAUGGAAGACCAUGUUCUACAUUUGAUAAAGGUACUGGAGAUAUUAAGGAAGGAUCAACUUUUUGCUAAAUUGUCCAAGUGUUCUUUUUGCUAGACCAAGGUAGAAUAUCUGGAGCACAUAAUAACAAGAAAAGGAGUAGCCACAGAUCCUUCAAAGAUUGAGGCUAUAGCUUCUUGGCCUACUCCUAAAAUCAUUAAGGCCCUUAGGGGAUUUCUGGGCUUGAAAGGAUACUAUAGGAGAUUCAUCAGGUCUUACGGGGGUUUAAGCAGACCCUUAGCCAAUUUGUUAAAGAAGAUUAGCUUUCACUGGGAUCCAGAGGCCGAGAGCUCAUUUCAAGCUGUUAAACAGGCCAUGUCCAGUGCACCUAUGCUAGCAUUGGCAGAUUUCAACAAGCCUUUCAUAAUUGAGAUUGAUGCUUGCUCCAAAGCAAUGUGGGCAGUACUAAUGCAAGAGGGCAGACCUAUUGCUUUUUUCCAAUAAAGCUUUAGCUCCUAGACACUUGGGAUUAUCUACAUAUGAGAAAGAAUUCAUGGCCUUACUAUCAGCUGUGGGUUAAUGGAGACAUUAUCUCCAAGGAGUCCAUUUUACAAUGAGAACAGUCCAUCACAGCUUAAAGCAAAGAGUAACCACUGCUCUACAACAGAAGGGUCUGACCAAAUUAUAAGGACUUGAUUAUGAAGUCUAAUAUAAAAGAGGUGUUGAAAAUAAGGACCAAAUUAUCCAGGAGACAGGAGGAAGAAUCAUCAUUAUUUGCCUUAUCUUCUAUUGAUCCUACUUGGAUGAGUGAGGUAGAGCACGGUUAUAAGCAUGAUUCUGAUGCUCACAAAUUGAUCACUAAACCGAUAAAUAAUACUCAUAACAGUUCCAAUUAUACCUUACUACCAGGAAUUUUGAGGUAUGACCAGAAAAUCUACAUUGGAAAGGGAACAGACCUCAUAUCUAAGAUUUUUAAAGCAAUGCACCAGUCUCCCAUGGGUGGACACUCUGAACAGCAGAGUACUUCCAAAAGGAUGAAGAUGAUUUUCUAUUGGCCUAAUAUGAGAAUUAAUGUCCAUAAAUGGGUUUCAAAAUGUGAUACUUGCCAAAGGGUGAAGACUAAAAAUAUACAUACACAUGGGUUGCUAAAACCUAUACCAAUUCCUGAGUUACCUUGGCAGGACAUAGCCAUGGACUGUGUGGAAGGGUUACCUUCUUCAGAACACAGGAAUGCUAUACUAGUGGUGGUGGACAGCCUUACAAAGUAUGGCCAUUUCCUAGCUCUCAAACAUCCCUUCACUGCACAAGGUGUGGCUGAUCUAUUUUUGAGAGACAUCUACAAACUACAUGGGUUACCUAAGUCAAUUAUUUCAGAUAGAGACAGUGUGUUCACUACCCAGUUUUGGCAGAGACUAUUCAAGUCCAUGGGGGUCAAGCUGAACAUGUCCACCUCUUACCAUGCUCAAGCAGAUGGGAAGACGGAGAAAUUAAACAUAUGUUUGGAAGCAUAUCUUAGGGCUAUGGUGUUUACUAAUCCUAAAUAGUGGGUGAAAUGGUUACCAUUAGCAGAAUGGUGGUACAACACUAAUCAUCAUAGUUCCUUAAAGACCACACCUUUUCAGGCUUUGUAUGAUUUUUCCCCACCUCAGAUUCCCUUGGGGUCACUACGGCAACCAUCUUACACACCCGCG
rnacentral:lncRNA from 1 species